GGGGUUGAACUGGCUCCAGCCAGGCAGCAACCUACAAUUAGCCAAGCAUCUCUGGGAUGCCAUCAACACAGGAUUCCCUUUGAUGAAGCGUCGUAUCCAGAUCCCAAAGCAUCACAGUGGGAAGAGGCAGCCAGAUGGAGAGUGCUGGGGCACACCGGGAGGAGGCUGAAAACCACAGAGCUGCAACUGCAUUUGGCAUUGGCUCCCCGUGAAGUGCAGGCAUCACUCGGAGCCCAUCGGGGCGCGUUGCACGCCCGCUCCUCCCCUCCUCUCCUCGGCCACCCUACAGCUACGCUGCCGUCGAGGUGCCUCGGUUUCAUCAAUCCCCAAGCCGUACAUCAAAGGCUGCAUUUGCUUAGCUGCGCGCUUCCCUGGCAGGCUUCAGGGAUUAAUCACACCCGGCCCUGCGUGAAAAGCGUGACCGUGUCACAGUUGUUUGUGUCGGAUGGGUUCUCUCCUGGUUAUCGUACUGCAGUGCCGCCUUUGGCCUCCGUGGAUGCGCCGUUUCCAUCAUUAUUCCCUUGGGUUGGCUGGAGGUGCUCAGUGGAAGGCGCCAGCACGUAUAGUUCAUGGGCAGCUUGCUGGUGCGGUCAGGAGUCCCUGGUGCAAAGCUGCAUCCUGCCAUGCCCCAUUUGGGAGCUGCCAGCUUUGGAGGCCACCACGAGAAGGUUCAAAGCAGCCUUGGGAGGAGAGGACAGGCUCCGCUGCACCCAGAGAGGGCACCGGGGAAUUGCUGCUUCUUCUGGGAGCUGCUGGGACCCUCCUGCAAUGGGUUCCAACCCGACACAGGGCUGAGCUGCACAUGGACUCGGCCCCGUCUGCCUUUGAUCUCAAGCCCUGUCAAGAAGGAUGCUGCGCAGGAAUCUCACCCAUCAGGUACCACUAUGUCACCGCUGUGACCAAUGCCUGACAGCUUCGGGAGCGGAGCCUCCACCUUCUGCCCCCGGGCUGGAGGCAGCGUUUGAGGGCUCCGGGCUCUCCGCUCCCCUAUCCAUGAACAUCAGCAGGCAGAGCAGCCCCGGGUCCCCAGCUGCGUGUUGGAGCUGCUGCGUGCUCCAGGUUGAUGGGCUGCUGCAGAGCAGGAAGGCCGGAGGUUGUCCAUCGCAUCCUGCGGUGGUGCCCAGGGCGUGGGUACCGCGGGGGUGUCUCUGGGUGCCACCCAGUGCCAGCGCAGCUGCUUCGCCUCUUCCAUCCUCCUCUGCCCGAGUAUCCCGAGCGCCUUCUCUCGACUCGGGGUGGGGAAGCCACUAGAUGGCAACGUUACCUGCAACGCUGCUGGGGACGGAGCCGCUGGGACCCCGGCGGGGUGCGCGCGAAGGCGGAGAGCUGCCGCGCAUCACCGCGGUUCCGCUCGCCGGUUCACCUCCAGCAGCGAAGCAGCUGCAUCACCACGAAGCGUCAGAGGUGACAGCACACGACGCUCACGCAGCAGCACUCGUGUGCUCACGUGUCGUCGCCGUCCCCACGGCCUGAAAUGCUCUAAAAAGGUCUCUCGGGUGAUGCCCGAAGUGACGCAUCCUAG
rnacentral:lncRNA from 1 species